CCUACGGGUGGCUGCAGUGGGGAAUAUUGGACAAUGGGGGAACCCUGAUCCAGCCAUGCCGCGUGUGUGAAGAAGGCCCUCGGGUUGUAAAGCACUUUCAGUGAGGAAGAACGCCUGGUGGUUAAUACCCAUCAGGAAAGACAUCACUCACAGAAGAAGCACCGGCUAACUCCGUGCCAGCAGCCGCGGUAAUACGGAGGGUGCGAGCGUUAAUCGGAAUUACUGGGCGUAAAGCGCGCGUAGGUGGCUUGAUAAGCCGGUUGUGAAAGCCCCGGGCUCAACCUGGGAACGGCAUCCGGAACUGUCAAGCUAGAGUGCAGGAGAGGAAGGUAGAAUUCCCGGUGUAGCGGUGAAAUGCGUAGAGAUCGGGAGGAAUACCAGUGGCGAAGGCGGCCUUCUGGACUGACACUGACACUGAGGUGCGAAAGCGUGGGUAGCAAACAGGAUUAGAUACCCGGGUAGUC
rnacentral:rRNA from 1 species